rnacentral:tRNA from 1 species
GAAAUUAUAGUCAAUAAUGAUAUUUGGGUUGCAUUCAAAAGGUGCCUUUUAGGGCUAAUUUUG